rnacentral:rRNA from 1 species
UGGGGAAUAUUGCGCAAUGGGGGAAACCCUGACGCAGCGACGCCGCGUGGGUGAUGAAGGCCUUCGGGUCGUAAAGCCCUGUCGUAGGGAAAGAACUGGUUGCAGGCUAAUAUCCUGCAGCCUUGACGGUACCCUACAAGAAAGCACCGGCUAACUCCGUGCCAGCAGCCGCGGUAAUACGGAGGGUGCAAGCGUUGUUCGGAUUUACUGGGCGUAAAGGGCACGUAGGCGGCAUGACAAGUCACUUGUGAAAUCUCUGGGCUUAACCCAGAACGGCCAAGUGAUACUGUCGCGCUAGAGUGCAGAAGGGGCAAUCGGAAUUCUUGGUGUAGCGGUGAAAUGCGUAGAUAUCAAGAGGAACACCUGAGGUGAAGACGGGUUGCUGGGCUGACACUGACGCUGAGGCGCGAAAGCCAGGGGAGCAAACGGGAUUAGAUACCCAAGUAGUCCCUGAGCGGGCUGGCAAGGCGCAU